rnacentral:rRNA from 1 species
GAAACUUAAAGGAAUUGGCGGGGGAGCACAGCAACGGGAGGAGCGCGCGGUUCAAUUGGAUUCAACGCCGGAAAACUCACCGGGAGCGACGAUUACAUGAAGGUCAAGCCGAUGACUUUACCUGAUUUUUCGAGAGGUGGUGCAUGGCCGUCGUCAGUUCGUACCGUAGGGCGUUCUGUUAAGUCAGAUAACGAACGAGACCCUCGCCCUUAAUUGCUAGUUCAUUCUCUGGAAUGGNCGCACAUUAAGGGGACCGCUAGCGCUAAGCUAGAGGAAGGGGAGGUCAACGGUAGGUCAGUAUGCCCCGAAUCUCCCGGGCUACACGCGCGCUACAAAGGACGGGACAAUGGGCUGCGACACCGAGAGGUGAAGCCAAUCCCGAAACCUGUUCGUAGUUCGGAUUGAGGGCUGUAACUCGCCCUCACGAAGCUGGAUUCCGUAGUAAUCGCGGAUCAACAUCCCGCGGUGAAUAUGCCCCUGCUCUUUGCACACACCGCCCGUCAAACCAUGCGAGUUGGGUCUAAGUGAGGAUGUAGUUUUUGCUGCGUUCAAACUUAGGCUUAGCAAGCGGGGUUAAGUCGUAACAA